CCCCACUGGGACUUCACUUUGAAAAGAAAACGAAGAGCAAAAGAUGAUGAUGUCGUAAGCCUUAGCAGCCUUGAUCUGAAGAGGCUACCUCAUGAUGGCUCCUGUGUCCUUCUCCCUCCACCGCCUCCCCCAGCUUUAUUAAGAUAUUAG